rnacentral:rRNA from 1 species
UACAGAGGUCCCAAGCGUUGUUCGGAUUCAUUGGGCGUAAAGGGUGCGUAGGCGGCGCGGUAAGUCGGGUGUGAAAUCUCGGAGCUUAACUCCGAAACUGCAUUCGAUACUGCCGUGCUUGAGGACUGGAGAGGAGACUGGAAUUUACGGUGUAGCGGUGAAAUGCGUAGAUAUCGUAAGGAAGACCAGUGGCGAAGGCGGGUCUCUGGACAGUUUCCUGACGCUGAGGCACGAAGGCCAGGGGAGCAAACGGG